UGAAGAGUCAGAAUGUGCACUACCGCAUU
rnacentral:sRNA from 1 species